CCUACGGGAGGCAGCAGUAGGGAAUAUUGCUCAAUGGGGGAAACCCUGAAGCAGCAACGCCGCGUGGAGGAUGAAGGUUUUCGGAUUGUAAACUCCUGUUGUUAGAGAAGAUAAUGACGGUAUCUAACGAAUAAGCACCGGCUAACUCCGUGCCAGCAGCCGCGGUAAUACGGAGGGUGCAAGCGUUACUCGGAAUCACUGGGCGGAAAGAGCGCGUAGGCGGGAUAGUAAGUCAGAUGUGAAAUCCUAGGGCUUAACCAUAGAACUGCAUUUGAAACUGUUAUACUAGAGUAUGGGAGAGGUAGGUGGAAUUCUUGGUGUAGGGGUGAAAUGCGUAGAGAUCAAGAGGAAUACUCAUUGCGAAGGCGACCUGCUAGAACAUAACUGACGCUGAGGCGCGAAAGCGUGGGGAGCAAACAGGAUUAGAUACCCCUGUAGUC
rnacentral:rRNA from 1 species